rnacentral:rRNA from 1 species
CUACGGGAGGCAGCAGUGGGGAAUAUUGGACAAUGGGCGCAAGCCUGAUCCAGCAAUGCCGCGUGUGUGAAGAAGGCCUGCGGGUUGUAAAGCACUUUUAUGAGGAAAGAAAAGCAGCGUGUUAAUAGCAUGUUGUCUUGACGGUACCUUAAGAAUAAGCACCGGCUAACUCCGUGCCAGCAGCCGCGGUACUACGGAGGGAGCUAGCGUUGUUCGGAAUUACUGGGCGUAAAGAGAACGUAGGCGGCUUUUCAAGUCAGGGGUGAAAUCCCCGGGCUCAACCCGGGAACUGCAUUCCAAACUGGAUAUCUAGAGUGCAGGAGAGGAAAGCGGAAUUCCUAGUGUAGCGGUGAAAUGCGUAGAUAUUAGGAAGAACACCAGUAGCGAAGGCGGCUUUCUGGACUGAAACUGACGCUGAGGUACGAAAGCGUGGGGAGCGA